AGUGGCAGACGGGUGAGUAAUGUAUAGGAAUCUACCUAGUAGUACGGAAUAAUUGUUGGAAACGGCAACUAAUACCGUAUACGCCCUACGGGGGAAAGAUUUAUCGCUAUUAGAUGAGCCUAUAUUAGAUUAGCUAGUUGGUAAGGUAAUGGCUUACCAAGGCAAUGAUCUAUAGCUGAUCCGAGAGGAUGAUCAGCCACACUGGAACUGAGAUACGGUCCAGACUCCUACGGGAGGCAGCAGUGGGGAAUAUUGGACAAUGGGCGAAAGCCUGAUCCAGCCAUGCCGCAUGAGUGAAGAAGGCCUUCGGGUUGUAAAGCUCUUUUAGUGAGGAAGAUAAUGACGGUACUCACAGAAGAGGUCCUGGCUAACUCUGUGCCAGCAGCCGCGGUAAUACGGAGAGGGCUAGCGCUAUUCGGAAUCAUUGGGCGUAAAGGGCGCGUANGCGGGUUAAUAAGUUAAAAGUGAAAUCCCAAGGCUCAACCUUGGAACUGCUUUUAAAACUGCUAGUCUAGAGAUUGAAAGAGGAUAGAGGAAUUCCUAGUGUAGAGGUGAAAUUCGUAAAUAUUNGNAGGAACGCC
rnacentral:rRNA from 1 species